UUACCCAAACUUAUGAUCCAUUCAUUGUAAUUUUAUCUUUAGGCUCUUUCUUAAUAGCAGCCUGUUGCAAAAACACAUAAUUUGUCGCCAUUUCUUUAAUUGAUUGUAUGGAAAAUUCCAAAGAAACCAGGGUUGACAGGGAUAAAACAAGGAGCUAUUACCGCAAAAUCAUCUCAGCACGGUGUGGAGCGUGCUCCACUUUCCUCAAAAACCUUGAGGAAAAUAGAGGACAAAAAAAAAGGUAGUAGGCCUAAACAGCCAUCUACAGCAGAUGAAUGGUAUAUGAAAGCAAUGUCCUUAAGAAACAGCGGGAGGAAUAUAGCAUAGACCUGACACAGGACCUGAGAGAUGCAUUUAUCCCUUCAGGUGAUCCAUCUAUAGUUCAGAGAAGCCUCAAAGCCUGGUCUCAGUGGAAGAGUGGCCAUAAGAAGCCAUUUCCAAGGAAGGGAAACAUGGAGAAAAGGGCUGAGGUUUUUUUUUAUUUUAUUUUUUUUCCAGACUACGAUGGCUUCCUUCACAUGCAUCGACCACUCUUUGGACCUCACAUUGAGAGCUCCGGUAAAAAGCUAUAAAAUGCAAAAAUAAACUCAUGGAAUCAAAUCCAGACCGUUGUAGUUAUUUUGUCCUGAAGUAAUCAGGAAGAAGGCAUCAACAGGCCACGAAGCAGCUUGCAAGUCAAUUGUCCAAUUACUUUGGAGAAUCUGAAAAUAAGCGACUGUGUAUAUAAUUCUUGAAUAGUGAAUGCCGUAUUUCUGUUAAACCCCUUGAAUUAAAGCUAAAA